UGAGGAAUCUUCCACAAUGGGCGAAAGCCUGAUGGAGCAACGCCGCGUGCAGGAUGAAGGCCUUCGGGUUGUAAACUGCUUUUAUUUGUGAAGAAUAUGACGGUAACAAAUGAAUAAGGAUCGGCUAACUACGUGCCAGCAGCCGCGGUCAUACGUAGGAUCCGAGCGUUAUCCGGAGUGACUGGGCGUAAAGAGUUGCGUAGGCGGUUAGUAAAGCGAAUAGUGAAAUCUGGUGGCUCAACCAUUCAGGCUAUUGUUCGAACUCACUAACUCGAGAGUGGUAGAGGUAACUGGAAUUUCUUGUGUAGGAGUGAAAUCCGUAGAUAUAAGAAGGAACACCAAUGGCGUAGGCAGGUUACUGGACCAUUUCUGACGCUAAGGCACGAAAGCGUGGGGAGCGAACC
rnacentral:rRNA from 1 species